rnacentral:rRNA from 1 species
CAGUAGCGUAUAUUAAUGUUGUUGCAGUUAAAAAGCUCGUAGUUGGAUUUCUAGCCGACGUUAGUGGUCCCCAACGCUCAGCGUAGGGCGUACCGCACGCGUCGUCUAUCCUAUCAGUUUGUCUGGUUUCGGCCGGGCUGACUGGUUCUUUUACUUUGAAAAAAUUAGAGUGUUUAAAGCAGGCUUGCGCAAUGAAUACAUUAGCAUGGAAUAAUAAUAUAGGACUUCGGUCUCUACUUUAUUGGUUCUGGAGUUGAAGUAAUGAUUGAUAGGGAUAGUUGGGGGUGCUAGUAUUGAGUGGCCAGAGGUGAAAUUCUUAGAUUCACUCAAGACUAACUUAUGCGAAAGCAUUCACCAAGGAUGUCUUCUUUAAUCAAGAACGAAAGUUGGGGGAUCGAAGACGAUCAGAUACCAU